UACGUAGGGUGCGAGCGUUAAUCGGAAUUACUGGGCGUAAAGCGUGCGCAGGCGGUUAUUUAAGUCAGGUGUGAAAGCCCUGGGCUUAACCUAGGAAUUGCGCUUGAGACUGGAUAGCUUGGAGUGCGGCAGAGGGAGGUGGAAUUCCACGUGUAGCAGUGAAAUGCGUAGAGAUGUGGAGGAACACCGAUGGCGAAGGCAGCCUUCUGGGCCAAUACUGACGCUCGAUGCACGAAAGCGUGGGGAGCAAACAGG
rnacentral:rRNA from 1 species